UACGUAGGGGGCUAGCGUUAUCCGGAAUUACUGGGCGUAAAGGGUGCGUAGGUGGUUUCUUAAGUCAGAGGUGAAAGGCUACGGCUCAACCGUAGUAAGCCUUUGAAACUGGGAAACUUGAGUGCAGGAGAGGAGAGUGGAAUUCCUAGUGUAGCGGUGAAAUGCGUAGAUAUUAGGAGGAACACCAGUUGCGAAGGCGGCUCUCUGGACUGUAACAGACACUGAGGCACGAAAGCGUGGGGAGCAAACAGGAUUAGAUACCCCUGUAGUCCCUGAGCGGG
rnacentral:rRNA from 1 species